rnacentral:tRNA from 1 species
GCCCUCGUAGCCCAAUCGGCAGAGGCAGCCGACUUAAAAUCGGCCAAGUGUGGGUUCGAGCCCCACCGAGGGCACC